AUGCUCACCAUAGAUGCGUUUGAGAAGGCUUGGAAGUUCCUUGUAGAGAAAUACAAACUAAAGAACAAUGCAUACAUGACACAAUUGUAUGAGAUACGGCACAAGUGGACGAAGUCUUACUUCACAGGUGUGUUUUGUGCUAAGAUGACCAGUACGCAGUGGAGUGAGAGCGCUGACCAUAUGCUGAAAAAAUUUGUGUCUCCUGGCUGUCCCAUGCAUGUGUUUGUGAGGAAGUACAUGAGACUGCUGUUUGAUAGAGAGUCUGAGGAAAAUUAUAAGGAAAACCGAACAAAAAUUACAAGAUACUUACUAGAAAAAAGGAAAAGUUUUUUUUCUAAAUAA
rnacentral:rRNA from 1 species